AACGCACCUUGCGCUCCUUGGUAUUCCGAGGAGCAUGCCUGUUUGAGUGUCAUGGUAUUCUCAAUUCAUCUGUAUUUUUGUUUAAAUACGGUUUGAAUUGGAUGUGGAGGUGUGCCGGUGUCCCUUGGAUAUUGGCUCCUCUUAAAUGCAUUAGCUUGAAUAUUGCUGAGCAUAUAUCAAUGUGAUAAAUGUCUACGUUGUAUGUGAUUGGUAACUUUAUUGUUCUAGCUUCAAAUCGUCUCUCUGGGGACAAUUUACUCUGAACAUCUGACCUCAAAUCAGGUAGGACUACCCGCUGAACUUAA
rnacentral:misc_RNA from 1 species